CGCAUUUACUUCCGGAAGUGCUCUUAGGGUACAAAAGAUGAAAACAUUGAGAAUUUUAGAAAAUCGUUUAUGAGAAUUGCAUUCUGUGUAGAGCAUAUAUUUCCAUUUUGGUAAUAUCUUUGCAUUGAGCAAAGUUGUAUAUAGAUCGGUUUUUAGUCAACACUUCCAAGAUAAAAACAUGUACAAGAAACAGAAGAAAUCCAAGAAAAAUACCUGUAGCCAAGAAAAAAACUACAACAAGAAAGGAUACUGACAAUUCAACAACCAACAAAAACCAGAGUUCUAAGAAUGCAAGUAACAGCAAAACAACAUUAAGCCAUCUACAAGUACAACUGAACAAUACACUGGUAAAAGAAAAAUAUCAAUGAGGUGUUCAAACACUAAAUUUGUUGGUCGUAGAAUCAAACACAAGUGGACGAUUAACGAAGAAGAAAUUUGGUAUGAGGGAACAGUUUUAGCUGCAGUUUCUGGAAAAGAGGGUGAAAGAUU